rnacentral:lncRNA from 1 species
AAAUGAUCAGUGCAGAGGACCUCAGGGUCAGUUAGCCUGAGGGCUCAGAGCAACAGCAUCUACUGAACAUUUACCCACAAUGAGCUAAAGUCUCCUCCAUGUGUGCAUAGCUUCAUAGACUCACAAGGACAUCUUUCUCCAAUGACCAUCUGUCUUCCUCUUGCACCAAUCAAGGGGUGGCUACAUGGCAUCUCCCUGGUGGCUCCUCUCUGUGUUCCUCUCCCCAGAAUGCUCCUCAUCUUGUAGCCCUGCCUAUACUUCCUGCCUGGCUACUGGAAAUCAGCAUUUAUUCAUCAACCAACAAGAGAAACAUAUAUUCACAGCACAUAGAAGUACAUCCCCCGUCACAUCAUACUAAGCGGAAAUCAAGUUCAAUUUCAGAAGAACCAACAACCAUCUCAAAGACUCAUCCUGCUUCUCCACAGCAACAUUUUCCUGCUGACAGAGGUGCUCUUCAUCUGCCCUUAGAAAGCUGCCUAAUAGAAUUUCACUGUCAUCUACAGACAGCUCUGCCCGGAGUUUAUUUUUAGUCUCUUUUGAUGCUGUCAGCACGUCUUCAUAACAGAACAACCAAAUUCAUAAAGAGGUGCUAUACAUUGCUUAUUAAGUAACAGUAGUUCUCAAAAAGAUGUAAAUGUCAUCUGCUACUGGGCAGAUAAGGCUGAUCCCAAGCAUCAGUUUAUAGAAAUUAGAAGAUAAUUUCUAUAAUACAAACACCAUCAUCAUCCCUAUUGUUAUGAACAUAGCAACAGCACACGGGGCCUAAGGCGGCCUCUGAAAGCCUCAGAGAAAGGUUCAUUAGUAGGACAAGCUGUUUAGGAGAUGGUUUGUCCAUAUGUUUAAGGCAGAAUAAACAACAGUUGUCUUUAUUGCUAUCAACACUGUGGAAGUUAUUUUAAAACCACAACCCAGGAAAAAAAUAAAACAGGUAUGCUGAUCAUUGUGGCAGUUGUUGGUUUAGAUCUGUCCUUUGAGGGUUGCUACUAG